GACAGAGGUGCCAAGCGUUAGGCGGAAUCACUGGGCUUAAAGCGUGUGUAGGUGGAUUUGUAAGUACCUUGUGAAAUCCCAUGGCUCAACCAUGGAACUGCUCGGUAUACUGCGAAUCUUGAGCCACUUAGGGGCUACCGGAACAAAUGGUGGAGCGGUGAAAUGCGUAGAUAUCAUUUGGAACGCCAAUGGUGAAAACAGGGUAGCUGGGAGUGUGCUGACACUGAGACACGAAAGCCAGGGGAGCGAACGGGG
rnacentral:rRNA from 1 species